rnacentral:rRNA from 1 species
AGGGGAAAUGAAUUGGGGCGCGAAAUUCGCCCUUAAAGUUUGAUCCUGGCUCAGGAUGAACGCUAGCGGCAGGCUUAACACAUGCAAGUCGAACGGCAGCACAGGUAGCAAUACUGGGUGGCGAGUGGCGCACGGGUGCGUAACCACGUAUGCAACUUACCCUUUAACUGGAAAAUAGCCCCGAAGAAAUUCGGAUUAAUGUUCCAUAAUAUAAUAGAAUGGCAUCAUUUUAUUAUUAAAGUAUUUCGGUUAAAGAUAGGCAUGCGCUCGAUUAGCUAGUUGGUGAGGUAACGGCUCACAAAGGCAACGAUCGAUAGGGGACCUGAGAGGGGUAUCCCCCACACUGGUACUGAGACACGGACCAGACUCCUACGGGAGGCAGCAGUGAGGAAUAUUGGACAAUGGCCGCAAGGCUGAUCCAGCCAUGCCGCGUGCAGGAUGACGGCCCUAUGGGUUGUAAACUGCUUUUCUACGGGAAUAAACCCCUUUACGUGUAAAGGGCUGAAGGUACCGUAGGAAUAAGCACCGGCUAACUCCGUGCCAGCAGCCGCGGUAAUACGGAGGGUGCAAGCGUUAUCCGGAUUUAUUGGGUUUAAAGGGUGCGCAGGCGGGAUUUUAAGUCAGUGGUGAAAGCCCGAGGCUCAACCUCGGAACUGCCAUUGAUACUGAAAUUCUUGAAUGUAGUUGAUGUGGGCGGGAAUGUGCCAUGUAGCGGUGAAAUGCUUAGAUAUGGCACAGAACACCGAUCGUGAAGACAGCUCACAAAACUAUUAUUGACGCCUCAGGCACGAAAGCGUGGGGAUCAAACAGGAUUAGAUACCCUGGGUAGUCCACGCUGUAAACGUUUGAUCACUCGACAUUGGCGAUAUACGGUCAGUGUCCAAGCGAAAGUGUUUAGUGAUCCACCUGGGGAGUACGCCCGCC